AUUGCUCUGAAGAAACAACGAACAAAGAAA
rnacentral:piRNA from 1 species